AAAAAGAAAGCCGUGAAUUUUUGCUAUUAUCACCUCCUCUACUUAAUGCUCUGAGCCUUGUUCUUCUGUCACCUUACUGCGUCUGUUUAGACACUUCUUCUAGCAAUUGCUAUGUUUAUUUGCAUUUUCUGUUCUGUCUUGUAUGCUUCUAGUCCUUGUUUCACAAAUGUAAAAUGUGCCAGACCCAAUAUUUUCCUUAAAUAGGUUUUAUUUAGCUACCUAAAUAAUAGGUCAGACUUCUAGGAAAAACUCCCGCGCUUGCUCUCCAUUUCAUAACGAUGACAGACUUCAGUUUAUGAGCCACAGUUUUUAUACUUGUGCCAUUGCUGAUAGAUUUGGAAGUGUGAAAGCAGUAAAGCUUUAAAUUGUGUAAGCCAGUAAGUAAUCUUGUGGAUUUUAAGUCUUAAAGCAGUAAAUAAAAUGUUCUGUUCAGAAGACUAUGUUAAUAUCUGCCCAUCCUGUUUGCACUUGGAUAAUUUUGCUGUAUGACAGUGUAUGUUGAAACUUGUAAACUAAGGCUGCUACAUCAGCAUCAGUUCUCUUCAGAGCAGGAGAGGAAUUUCACAAAUGUUCCAUACAAUUGAUAGCAAGGGAUUGCAGCUAAUGGGAAUUUAUAUCUACAUAUGCAUCUAUACCUAUUUAUCUAUCUAAAUAAAAUAGUCUUACGGUAGUAAAAUAAUGAUUAA